rnacentral:lncRNA from 1 species
UGCGUGUUAUCUAGGUUAUCUAGUCUUCAUUCUGAGAAAUUGUAGUCUGCCCUUCCAUGAAACAUUUAAAUAUUUCUUUACAAAAACUCAAUAACUCUAAAAUAAAAAUUUGAAUCAUCACCAAAAAGUAUACAGAUCUUUAGAUUAAUAUAAUUAAGAAGUGUGUAAAGUUUUAAGCAAUAAUCAUGAAUCGUGUUUGAG